rnacentral:rRNA from 1 species
CGAACGCUGGCGGCGUGCCUAAUACAUGCAAGUCGAACGCACUCUCGUUUAGAUUGAAGGAGUUUGCUCCUGAUUGAUAAACAUUUGAGUGAGUGGCGGACGGGUGAGUAACACGUGGUAACCUGACCCUAAAGUGGGGGAUAACAUUUGGAAACAGAUGCUAAUACCGCAUAAAACCUAACACCGCAUGGUGUAGGGUUGAAAGAUGGUUUCGGCUAUCACUUUAGGAUGGACCCGCGGUGCAUUAGUUAGUUGGUGAGGUAAAGGCUCACCAAGACCGUGAUGCAUAGCCGACCUGAGAGGGUAAUCGGCCACACUGGGACUGAGACACGGCCCAGACUCCUACGGAGGCAGCAGUAGGGAAUCUUCCACAAUGGACGAAAGUCUGAUGGAGCAACGCCGCGUGAGUGAAGAAGGUUUUCGGAUCGUAAAACUCUGUUGUUGGAGAAGAAUGUAUCUGAUAGUAACUGAUCAGGUAGUGACGGUAUCCAACCAGAAAGCCACGGCUAACUACGUG